UCAGGAUGAACGCUGGCGGCGUGCUUAACACAUGCAAGUCGAACGGAGAUUAGACGCUGACGAGACUUCGGUCAAAUCUGUUAAUCUUAGUGGCGGACGGGUGAGUAACGCGUGGGUAACCUGCCGUAUGCAGGGGGACAACAGUUGGAAACGACUGCUAAUACCGCAUAAGCGCACGGUUUUGCAUGAAACAGUGUGGAAAGAUUUAUCGGCAUACGAUGGACCCGCGUUUGAUUAGCUAGUUGGUGAGGUAACGGCCCACCAAGGCGACGAUCAAUAGCCGGCCUGAGAGGGCAAUCGGCCACAUUGGGACUGAGACACGGCCCAAACUCCUACGGGAGGCAGCAGUGGGGAAUAUUGCACAAUGGGGGAAACCCUGAUGCAAGCGACGCCGCGUGAGUGAAGAAGUAUUUCGGUACGUAAAGCUCUAUCAGCAGGGAAGAUGAUGACGGUACCUGACUAAGAAGCCCCGGCUAACUACGUGCCAGCCGCUGC
rnacentral:rRNA from 1 species